rnacentral:rRNA from 1 species
UACGUAGGGUGCAAGCGUUAUCCGGAAUUAUUGGGCGUAAAGAGCUCGUAGGCGGUUUGUCGCGUCUGCUGUGAAAACUGGGGGCUCAACCCCCAGCCUGCAGUGGGUACGGGCAGACUAGAGUGCGGUAGGGGAGAUUGGAAUUCCUGGUGUAGCGGUGGAAUGCGCAGAUAUCAGGAGGAACACCGAUGGCGAAGGCAGAUCUCUGGGCCGUAACUGACGCUGAGGAGCGAAAGCCAGGGGAGCGAACGGG